CGAAAGUCCGCUUGUCUGUGGUCUCAACUCUGUACACAAGGAUGUUUGCGAGCCGAGGACGGCGCAACUCAAGGAUUAAAACCGCUCCAGCUCUCUGUUGUACGCUGUUCAAGGACGUGCGCCACUGUCAUUGUCACUGGCGCUUGUUUGUGUGAGUGUGUGUGGAUAGUUCGCCAGUUUUCGAGGAGCAAACUUUGACAUUCAGAAACAAAGAGCGGCACAGUGGUAGUAUUUGCAUUCUUUGGUUUCAUUCCGCACAGUUUCAACAAAGGUUUUGAGAGGAAAACACUUAAAAAUGACAAAAAAAGAAGGAGUUCACAUCACAAACACGGCGGCGUUCACAAGAGACAGACGGGGAGAGGAAGAAAGAAAGUAAAAGUUAGAAAGAAACGAAUUUUGAAAACCAUAUCAAACAACAUAACAAAAGAAAAAG